rnacentral:rRNA from 1 species
CUACGAAGGGGGCUAGCGUUGUUCGGAAUUACUGGGCGUAAAGCGCGCGUAGGCGGACUGAUCAGUUGGGGGUGAAAUCCCAGGGCUUAACCCUGGAACUUCCUCCAAUACUGUCAGUCUUGAGUUCGGGAGAGGUGAGUGGAAUUCCUAGUGUAGAGGUGAAAUUCGUAGAUAUUAGGAAGAACACCAGUGGCGAAGGCGGCUCACUGGCCCGAUACUGACGCUGAGGCGCGAAAGCGUGGGGAGCAAACAGGAUUAGAAACCCUAGUAGUCC